rnacentral:rRNA from 1 species
CCUACGGGGGGCAGCAGUGAGGAAUAUUGGUCAAUGGACGAGAGUCUGAACCAGCCAAGUAGCGUGAAGGAUGACUGCCCUAUGGGUUGUAAACUUCUUUUAUAUGGGAAUAAAAUGUUCCACGUGUGGGAUUUUGUAUGUACCAUAUGAAUAAGGAUCGGCUAACUCCGUGCCAGCAGCCGCGGGAAUACGGAGGAUCCGAGCGUUAUCCGGAUUUAUUGGGUUUAAAGGGAGCGUAGGUGGAUUGUUAAGUCAGUUGUGAAAGUUUGCGGCUCAACCGUAAAAUUGCAGUUGAAACUGGCAGUCUUGAGUACAGUAGAGGUGGGCGGAAUUCGUGGUGUAGCGGUGAAAUGCUUAGAGAUCACGAAGAACUCCGAUUGCGAAGGCAGUUCACUGGACUGCAACUGACACUGAGGCUCGAAAGUGUGGGUAUCAAACAGGAUUAGAUACCCUUGUAGUC